AUUGAACGCUGGCGGCAUGCCUUACACAUGCAAGUCGAACGUCAGCACGGGAGCAAUCCUGGUGGCGAGUGGCGUACGGGUGAGUAAUAUAUCGUAACGUGCCCAGUCGUGGGGGAUAACGCAGCUAAAGCUGUUCUAAUACUGCAUACCAUCUAAGGAUGAAUGCGGGGAUCGCAAGACCUCUCGCGAUUGGUGCGGCCUAUUUCAGAUUAGCAAGUUGGUGGGGUAAAGGCCCACCAAGGCGACGAUCUGUAGCUGGUCUGAGAGGACGACUAGGAACACUGGAACGGAGACACGGUCCAGACUCCUACGGGAGGCAGCAGUGGGGAAUUUUGGACAAUGGGCGCAAGCCUGAUCCAGCAAUGCCGCGUGCAGGAUGAAGGCCUUCGGGUUGUAAACUGCUUUUGUACGGAACGAAACGGCCCUUUCUAAUACAGGGGGCUAAUGACGGUACCGUAAGAAUAAGCACCGGCUAACUACGUGCCAGCCGCCGCCGUAA
rnacentral:rRNA from 1 species